AAUUAACAGAUGAUAUUAAGGGUGUGUGUGUGUGUGUGUGUGUGUUAUCUCUCUCUCUGAUGGUAGAGGACACGGUGGUUCAGGAGGGACGAACGCUGGGAGAUUCAGACUGGCAGAAGUUCACUCUGGGUCUGAGUAACGUCACCGUGCCGGAUCUCACCACGGACAUCGUCAUGUGCAACACGGAGCUCUACCCACAACCCCCUGCGGCCACGUCUCCACUGAAGGAGCAGGAGGGAGGAGCUUCAGAGCUCCACAAGAUCCACGAGGACGUAGGAGGAGCUCCUCAGAACGAGGAGAUAGUAGAGGAGCAUCUUUAUGAGGAGGUUGUGGAGGAUCAUCCGGAAGAUGAGGUAAUAGAGGACACACACGAUGAUGAUGAUGAUGAUGAGGGUGUGGAGGAAGGUGAGGAAGGUGAGGGUUUGGAGGAUCAUCAAAGGCAGUCUGUGAAUAAAACCUAUGAAACUGAACCUCAGCCAUUACGAGACGAGGAAAAAUCUCAGCUACACUUACAGUUAGAGGAAGAGCAAGAGGAGGAAGAGGAAGUGGAGGAGGAGGAAGAGGAAGAAGAGGAAGAGGAGAUGAACAUGGUUUCUUCCCCAAAACAGAAAGAUUCCAGCGUUUUGAGUCCUGAUGAUAUUCCUUUUGCACCAACUCAGGCCAUGACCGAGCCCCUCCCACAGGAAGGGGAGGGGCUAGAGUCUGAGAUGCAGGAGGAGGAGGGUAUUGGAUGGAGAGACAGUGUGAGGGAGGACCUUCAGACUAUGGAGCUUCCGUCACAGCUCCUGGAGCGAAUCACGCGGAGAGCCUAUCGCUCAGAGGGCGGGGCCAUCAUGCCCGGAGUGACGGCGAGAGGAAGAGUCACGAAGAGCUUAGGGGCGGGACUACAUCCCGCAGAGAGAGAAGCACAGAGUUUUAUGGGUGUCAGGAGUCCAGGUGAAUUAAUCAGCUCGGCCCUGAGACGCUCUCCAUCUGUGACCAGUCAGACGGGGGCGGAGCUAAAUCUGAGCAACGCAGAGCAGGAGAACAUCGUCUCCUCUUCUGUACAUCAAAGCAUUAACCCACUAUCUCCUCCUGCCGAGAAGGAGGAGCAUGAGGAGGAGGAGGAGCUGGAGGAGGAGGGGGAGGAGCAUCAGGAGGAGGAGCUGGAGGAGGAGGAGGAGCUGGAGGAGGAGGAGAAGCAUCAGGAGGAGGAGCUGGAGGAGGAGGAGCAUCAGGAGGAGGAGCUGGAGGAGCAUCGAGAAGGGGCGGAGCAUGGAGAGGAAGAGGGUGCUGACAGGGAGGAAAUGGAAGUGGAAGCAGAUAAAGUAGAUGAUGAUGAAGAUGAAGAAGAUGCUCAGAGUGAAGGUACAGUAGAUUUCUGCACUAUAAACUGGAUUUUUUGUAUAGUAAUAAUUUUUAUUUGGAAAUAUAAAUCAGUAAAAGCAUGAUCG
rnacentral:lncRNA from 1 species